GGUUGACCUCGGAUCAGGUAGGGAUACCCGCUGAACUUAAGCAUAUCAAUAAGCGGAGGAAAAGAAACCAACAGGGAUUGCCUCAGUAACGGCGGAGUGAAGCGGCAAGAGCUCAAAUUUGAAAGCUGGCUCUCUCGGGGUCCGCAUUGUAAUUUGCAGAGGAUGUUUCGGGAGCAGCCCCCAUCUAAGUGUCCUGGACAGGACCGUCAUAGGAGGGUGAGAAUCCCGUAUGGGAUGGGGUUGCUGCGCCCGAUGUGAAACUCCUU
rnacentral:rRNA from 1 species